rnacentral:tRNA from 1 species
GUAUAGCUCAGUGGUAGAGCAUCUGUCUAGCAUAUGUGAGGUCCUGUGUUCAAUCUCCAGAAACAUACA